UACAGAGGGUGCAAGCGUUGUUCGGAAUUACUGGGCGUAAAGCGUGCGUAGGUUGUAUCGAGAGUCAUAGGUGAAAUCCCUGGGCUUAACCCAGGAACUGCCUGUGAGACCUCGGUACUAGAGUACGGAAGGGGCCGGUGGAAUUCCAUGUGUAGCGGUGAAAUGCGUAGAUAUAUGGAGGAACACCAGUGGCGAAGGCGGCCGGCUGGUCCGAGACUGACACUGAGGCACGAAAGCGUGGGGAGCAAACAGG
rnacentral:misc_RNA from 1 species